AGAGGUUGCUGCUGCCCACCGACAGCCCAGUGCAGGCUUUCUUCGUGAUGCGGAAGCAGUUGGACGAGGAGGAGAAGCGGGGCUACGUUAAGAUCAAAACCAACGAGGGGGCGCGGAGAUCUUGUGAGGAGAAAGCGCUGAAGGCCUGGAAUACCGGCGCGUGGAAAACGUAGCGGAUGUUGUGACCGACAGGUUCCUCUGUACGGGGGGAAGUGAUCCCACUCAGGAGUCGAUCACGUGUCAAGGUGACUCGGGGGGAUCACUGUUCAUCCACAAGAAAAGGAGGUU